rnacentral:rRNA from 1 species
CCUACGGGAGGCAGCAGUGAGGAAUAUUGGUCAAUGGUCGGGAGACUGAACCAGCCAAGCCGCGUGAGGGAUGAAGGUACAGAGUAUCGUAAACCUCUUUUGUCAGGGAACAAAGGCGGGGACGUGUCCCCGGAUGAGUGUACCUGAAGAAAAAGCAUCGGCUAACUCCGUGCCAGCAGCCGCGGUAAUACGGAGGAUGCGAGCGUUAUCCGGAUUUGUUGGGGUUAAAGGGUGCGCAGGCGGUCUGUUAAGUCAGCGGUCAAAGCCCGGGGCUCAACCCCGGCCCGCCGUUGAAACUGGCAGUCUCGAGUUGGAGAGAAGUAUGCGGAAUGCGCGGUGUAGCGGUGAAAUGCAUAGAUAUCGCGCAGAACUCCGAUUGCGAAGGCAGCAUGCCGGCUCCACACUGACGCUGAGGCACGAAAGCGUGGGUAUCGAACAGGAUUAGAUACCCCAGUAGUC